rnacentral:rRNA from 1 species
AAUCAACGCUGGCGGCGUGCCUAACACAUGCAAGUCGAACGCGAAAGGGGCUUCGGUCCUGAGUAGAGUGGCGUCCGGGUGAGUAACGCGUGGGUAAUCUACCCUUGGGUGGGGAAUAACCAGUCGAAAGAUUGGCUAAUACCGCAUACGAUCCACGGAUGAAAGCGGGGACCCGAACGGCGAACCGAGGGCCGUCGCACUAUUGGAGCGGCCGAUGUCGGAUUAGCUAGUUGGCGGGGUAAAGGCCCACCAAGGCGACGAUCCGUAGCUGGUCUGAGAGGACGACCAGCCACACUGGAACUGAGACACGGUCCAGACUCCUACGGGAGGCAGCAGUGGGGAAUCUUGCGCAAUGGGCGAAAGCCUGACGCAGCGACGCCGCGUGAGGGAUGACGGCCU